rnacentral:rRNA from 1 species
UUGGAUCUGAUAUCCAGACAUACUACUCCUCUGAAUGUUAAUCAUAUCUUUACGCGGACGCAUAC